GACGAGGUGGCCGAGUGGUUAAGGCGUUGGACUGCUAAUCCAAUGUGCUCUGCAGGCGUGGGUUCAAAUCCCAUCCUCGUCG
rnacentral:tRNA from 1 species